AUAUAGAAAAGAAUCGAGAAGAUUGAGAUAUUUGCCAGACAAUAAGAAAGAAGUAUGCGAAAUAAACUGGGAACAAGAAAAUCGAUUCGAUGGAUUUUUUCUCCAUUUUGGCACCGUGCUACAAGAUCGACAUGCGUAGUUAUUCGACGCGAAUCGCUUCUUCGCGCGGUGAGCAUCCAGACCAGCCAACAGAUUAACGUCACAUUCUGCAACUCUGCCAGCUACGCAUCAUACUGAUCUAUCUCACGCUGCGCAGGCACGAGGUGAAGAAAAGAUUUCUGCGUCAUUUAUUCUUUCGCCAUGAGACCCCAAUGACAACAAUUGAACCGAAGAAACCCCAAUGUCUUGGAAUAAUUCAGACGAACUGACGCAGGUAACUGACAUAGCUAUUCCAGGCGCGUGUUCAUUCUUGCGUGUUUCCCUAUGGAAAAAGUUCCAGCGCGUGGAAAACAGAUAUAUCGCUGUCUACCUGUGCAUCUUUU